rnacentral:rRNA from 1 species
CAGUCGCCGCGGGAAUACGAAGGGUGCAAGCGUUACUCGGAAUUACUGGGCGUAAAGCGUGCGUAGGUGGUGGUUUAAGUCCGUUGUGAAAGCCCUGGGCUCAACCUAGGAAUUGCAGUGGAUACUGGGUCACUAGAGUGUGGUAGAGGAUAGUGGAAUUUCCGGUGUAGCAGUGAAAUGCGUAGAGAUCGGAAGGAACAUCUGUGGCGAAGGCGACUAUCUGGGCCAACACUGACACUGAGGCACGAAAGCGUGGGGAGCAAACAGGAUUAGAUACCCGGGUAGUCCCUGUCUCUUAUAC